AUUGAACGCUGGCGGCAGGUCUAACACAUGCAAGUCGAACGAGUGGCGGACGGGUGAGGAAUGUCUGGGAAACUGCCUGAUGGAGGGGGAUAACUACUGGAAACGGUAGCUAAUGCAGCAUACCAUCGGAUGUGCCCAGAUGGGAUUAGCUAGUAGGUGGGGUAAAGGCUCAACUAGGCGACGAUCCCUAGCUGGUCUGAGAGGAUGACCAGCCACACUGGAACUGAUACACGGUCCAGACGCCUACGGUAGGCGGCAGUGGGGAAUAUUGCACAAUGGGCGCAAGCCAAAUGCAGCCAUGCCGCGUGUAUGAAGAAGGCCUUCGGGUUGUAAAGUACUUUCAGCGGGGAGGCGUUACCCGCAGAAGAAGCACCGGCUAACUCCGUGCCAGCCGCCGCGGUAAUUC
rnacentral:rRNA from 1 species